rnacentral:rRNA from 1 species
UAAUCACUUGUCUUUUAAAUGGAGACCUGUAUGAAUGGCGAGACGAGGGCGAAACUGUCUCCCCCCUUCGGUCAAUGAAACUGAUCUCCCCGUGCAGAAGCGGGGAUACCCCCACAAGACGAGAAGACCCUAUGGAGCUUGAGACUUUGGAGAGCUUGCCUUAAGUAUAUGAUUACAAACUAUUAAACCCCGGCAUCCCUUAUCUAAAUGUCUUUGGUUGGGGCGACCGCGGAGACAAAUCUAACCCCCGCGUGGAUUGGGUACCCCCUAUAAUCAAGAGCUACAGCUCUAAAUAUCAGAAGAUCUGACCUUUAAUGAUCCGGCCUGCCGAUCAACGAACCGAGUUACCCUAGGGAUAACAGCGCAAUCCUCUUCUAGAGCCCC